GUAUGGUGCGAGCGUUAUCCGGAUUUACUGGGUGUAAAGGGAGCGUAGACGGAUGGGCAAGUCUGAUGUGAAAACCCGGGGCUCAACCCCGGGACUGCAUUGGAAACUGUUCAUCUAGAGUGCUGGAGAGGUAAGUGGAAUUCCUAGUGUAGCGGUGAAAUGCGUAGAUAUUAGGAGGAACACCAGUGGCGAAGGCGGCUUACUGGACAGUAACUGACGUUGAGGCUCGAAAGCGUGGGGAGCAAACAGGAUUAGAUACCCUGGUAGUCCACGCCGUAAACGAUGACUACUAGGUGUCGGGUGGCAAAGCCAUUCGGUGCCGCAGCAAACGCAAUAAGUAGUCCACCUGGGGAGUACGUUCGCAAGAAUG
rnacentral:rRNA from 1 species